rnacentral:rRNA from 1 species
CAGUGGGGAAUAUUGGACAAUGGGCGGAAGCCUGAUCCAGCCAUGCCGCGUGAGUGAUGAAGGCCUUAGGGUUGUAAAGCUCUUUCAGUGGGGAAGAUAAUGACGGUACCCACAGAAGAAGCCCCGGCUAACUUCGUGCCAGCAGCCGCGGUAAUACGAAGGGGGCUAGCGUUGUUCGGAUGUACUGGGCGUAAAGCGCACGUAGGCGGAUUGUUAAGUCGGGGGUGAAAUCCUGGAGCUCAACUCCAGAACUGCCUUCGAUACUGGCAAUCUCGAGUCCGGAAGAGGUGAGUGGAACUCCUAGUGUAGAGGUGGAAUUCGUAGAUAUUAGGAAGAACCCCAGUGGCGAAGGCGGCCCACUUGGCCCGUACUGACGCUUAGGCGCGAAAGCGUGGGGAGCAAACAGGAGUAGA